rnacentral:tRNA from 1 species
GGCGGCAUAGCCAAGUGGUAAGGCAGAGGAUUGCAAAUUCUUUAUCCCCAGUUCGAAUCUGGGUGCCGCCU